GAUGAACGCUGGCGGCGUGCCUAAUACAUGCAAGUCGAGCGAACAGACGAGGAGCUUGCUCCUCUGACGUUAGCGGCGGACGGGUGAGUAACACGUGGAUAACCUACCUAUAAGACUGGGAUAACUUCGGGAAACCGGAGCUAAUACCGGAUAAUAUAUUGAACCGCAUGGUUCAAUAGUGAAAGACGGUUUUGCUGUCACUUAUAGAUGGAUCCGCGCCGCAUUAGCUAGUUGGUAAGGUAACGGCUUACCAAGGCAACGAUGCGUAGCCGACCUGUGAGGGUGAUCGGCCACACUGGAACUGAGACACGGUCCAGACGACUACGGGAGGCAGCAGUAGGGAAUCUUCCGCAAUGGGCGUAAGCUUGACGGAGCAACGCCGCGUGAGUGAUGAAGGUCUUCGGAUCGUAAAGCUCUGUUAUUAGGGAAGAACAAAUGUGUAAGUAACUAUGCACGUCUUGACGGUACCUAAUCAGAAAGCCACGGCUAACUACGUG
rnacentral:rRNA from 1 species